GAAAUGCGAUACGUAAUGUGAAUUGCAGAAUUCAGUGAAUCAUCGAGUCUUUGAACGCACAUUGCGCCCCCUGGUAUUCCGGGGGGCAUGCCUGUCCGAGCGUCAUUGCUGCCCUCAAGCACGGCUUGUGUGUUGGGCUUCGCCCCCCGUUCUUCGGGGGGCGGGCCCGAAAGGCAGCGGCGGCACCGCGUCCGGUCCUCGAGCGUAUGGGGCUUUGUCACCCGCUCUGUAGGCCCGGCCGGCGCCCGCCGGCGACCCCAAAUCAAUCUAUCCAGGUUGACCUCGGAUCAGGUAGGGAUACCCGCUGAACUUAA
rnacentral:misc_RNA from 1 species